AAAUGAUUGGUUAACAAAUAUUCAACCAUGAUAAUGCUUCAAGAAACGAACUAACAAAUAAAUACAUGUGUAUAUAUUACCAAAAUAAACAAUAACAAUAUUAAUGGGACUAACGAUGCGUGGAUAGGAUAUAUCAUCAAUUAAUACAUUAAUCCAGUAUUUCACAAUCUGAGAUUUCUGUCAAUAUAUAAUAAUACAUACAGCUGUAUUUUACACAAUGAACAACAUUUUUUUGCAUACAUUUUGCAUCUGUUCAUUGAAAUCAAUAUACAU
rnacentral:lncRNA from 1 species